UUAUUUGAGUUAUUUUUAUUUCGAUUAUCCACAAGAACUUCUAGAGAUCCUUCAAGAUAUUCUACAAGGAAUAUGGAUUAUUGAAAUUUCCGUGAAAUACUGAUACAUUAGCUAUUACCAUUUUAUUCUGAAAUUAGAUGGUUUAUUGAGAUUAUAAUCCUGAUUGGAAUUUAUCUAUGCGGGAUUCUAAUAGGAUUAUGCCAAGAUAAACUAUGGAAUAAACAAUACUACAUGGAAUUAAACUAACCGGAAGAAGUCCUCAACCCAAUCGAAAUGAUGAAAGACCUACAAUUUACAAUGUGACAAAACUCUGAUUAAUGAAUGUGAAGAAAUAAACAACGAUUAAAUUACUGAAUGAUUGAACUAACAAGAGAUAUAUAGAGUUUGUAGCAUUCGUCUUAUUAACUUCAAUAAAGGUGUCUAUAUCUUUAGGAUAACUGAGAAUAAUCAUAGAUUUCAUUAAAAUUUCUGACCAUUUUAAUGAAAUCUAAAGAUAAAUGUGGAACUCCAAUAUUCAAAAUUACAAAUAAAGGAAUCUAGGAUAAGCUAGUAUUAAAACACUAACAGUGUAUUAGAAUCUAAGAUAACUUUAGUGAAUAAAACAACAAGUACUGCAAUUUAAUAUAAGAACUUAAGUUAAGUGAUAACUUAACUUAAUUAGGAUAUACUCUAAAGAAAGGAGUAAUUAAAUGCAAGUAUUUAAAAAGUUUGAUAAGAAGAAUGCAAAACUGAUAAUUUAUCAAACAAGCAAAUGUAAUUUAUGAAAGCGACUGAAAAAACUGAUAAGAUUUAUUAAACAUAGAUUUAAGCUAGAUGUAUAAGAAGAACAUACAUUUUAUUACAAGCAAAUAGAAGUAAUGAGUGCGACUGAAAACCUGAAACAUUGAUUUAAGCUAUUUAUAUAAGAAGAACACAAAUACUUAUCAAACAUAGAGUUUUAAGCUAGAUAUAUAAGUAUCAUAUACAUAUUAUAUACCAGAAUAAUAUGGUAUCAAGAUGACUACAAAACUGAUAUUGAUUAAAAAAUCAUAGGAAGAUUUAUAACAAUAAGGGCUAUGUAGCUGGUUGGUCUAUGUGGCCUGUAUCCCAAUAACAGAUGCGAAGGUUCCAUGGAUCGAAUAUGACAGGAGCCAAUUUAAAAAAUCCAACAAGAGAUGAACGGACCUGACAAUAUUACAAUAAACUAAACAAAUAUCUGAAAUUAAAAAAAAAGUGACAAAAGAUGCAAUUCCAUUAUAUAAACAAAGUUGAGACACUGUCUAUUGAGACUAAUCAGCAGGACGGGAUUCUUCCCUAAGUAUAUGCCAAAAUAACCUAAUGUGGGAAUUUUGACAACCUGUGCAAAACGUUAUAAAACUGAAGCAAUUCAGCGCCUGGAGAUUAUUACAAAUCACGUACAUUAUCUACUGAACCCCGACCCCAGUAGAUAGUUUUACCACAACAAAUUGUGUCAUUCGUUAUCCUGGUAAAAUAUCAAAUGACAUAAUUACUACACCGGACUGAACGAAACAAAAGUAUUACAAAUCCUAAGAACUAAUGAAAAAACAUACAUUAUAUACUGAAACUAAAACAGAAAAUUAAAAAAAAGCUAUUCCAAUUGAAUAACAUGAAAUCAACUAAUUAUAUAAUAUUGCUAGUACAUUCAAAUGAUGUGAAUCUGCUUGAGCAGAUUUAUGUACAAAAGAGGAAAAUGCAUAUCUUAUGCAAGUGCAGGUGAUGACAAAACAUCAGCUUUUAGAGACACCUUACGCCUAAAUUGAUAUACUACAUGUUAUAUAACCUACUACGCAAAGCUCGUAUUCUGCAAGUACCUGGACGAUGACAAAUCAUGAUAUUUGCACAAAAUUUCAAGAUUGAACAACAUCCCUAAGCGGAUGAAUAAAUAACAAAUUUACACAACAAUGAACAAUUUUCAUUCGUCAUGGAGACAAAUAUAAGGAAAUUUUAGCAAAAGACCACAAAUUUAAAAACCUAAGGGCGGCAUUGGUAUAUGUCACCUGUAUCACAAUAACAGAUACAAAAGAUUUUCUACUUCAAAUUUGACAGGACGCAAAAAAGGACUAUAAUUAAUUUAAUCCAAAGAGAAAAUUCGGAAAAAUCCACAAAUACUUCAAAUUUAUAAUGAUCAUACUUAACGUGGUGGGACAUUCAAGGACAAAUACAAUUAUGCAAUACUACGAACACGCCUGUACAACUAACAAUAGGGAUUCAGGCUACUUCAAACUGCAAAUCAGAAUUACAUAUAGAGAAUUAAUGCAAAAAUGAUACCAGAAUACAAAUAAACUCAUAAUGACAAGUAAAAUACUGAGACAAUGUGACUAAGUUGACAUUUCAAGAAAUCAGGAUGAAAUACUAUAUCUAACGAAAUAUAGCUUUAAAAUAUUAUAUUCAUAUUUAUAUGGAACCUGAAAUGAAGAAAAAUUAUUGAACACAAUAAAUAUAUCUAUAUAACAUAAUCUAAGUGCCAGGAAAGAGAACAAUUCUAUAGAAAAAAAUAAAACCCUUAGAUGAAUAUAACUACAUACAGGAUUAUAUAAA